GAUGAACGCUGGCGGCGUGCUUAACACAUGCCAGUCGAACGGAAAGGCUCCUGCUUGCAGGGGUACUCGAGUGGCGAACGGGUGAGUAACACGUGGGUGAUCUGCCCUGCACUUCGGGAUAAGCCUGGGAAACUGGGUCUAAUACCGGAUAGGACGAUGGUUUGGAUGCCAUUGUGGAAAGUUUUUCGGUGUGGGAUGAGCUCGCGGCCUAUCAGCUUGUUGUUGGGGUAAAGGCCUACUAAGGCGUCGACGAGUAGCCGGCCUGGUAGGGUGUACGGCCACAUUAGAACUGAGAUACGGCCCUGACUCCUUCAGGAGGCAGCAGUGGGGAAUAUUGCACGAUGGGCGCAAGCCUGAUGCAGCGACGCCGCGUGGGGGAUGACGGCCAUCGGGUUGUAAACUCCUUUCGCUAGGGACGAAGCGCAAGUGACGGUACCUGGAGAAGAAGCACCGGCUAACUACGUG
rnacentral:rRNA from 1 species